rnacentral:tRNA from 2 species
UCCGAAGUGGUGUAGUGGUUAGCAUACGACGCUUUCACCGUCGCGACCGGGGUUCGAUUCCCCGUUUCGGAA